GCGCCUACGGGGCGCAGCAGUGGGGGAUAUUGCACAAUGGGGGGAACCCUGAUGCAGCGACGCCGCGUGGGUGAAGAAGCGCUCCGGCGCGUAAAGCCCUGUCAGCAGGGAAGAAGAAGGACGGUACCUGACCAAGAAGCCCCGGCUAACUACGUGCCAGCAGCCGCGGUAAUACGUAGGGGGCAAGCGUUAUCCGGAUUUACUGGGUGUAAAGGGGGCGCAGACGGCGAUGCAAGCCAGGAGUGAAAGCCCGGGGCCCAACCCCGGGACGGCUCUUGGCACUGCGUGGAUGGAGUGAGGGAGGG
rnacentral:rRNA from 1 species